AGAGUUUGAUCAUGGCUCAGAAUCAACGCUGGCGGCGCGCUUAACACAUGCAAGUCGAGCGAGAAAGUGGGGCAACUCAUGAGUACAGCGGCGAACGGGUGAGUAACACGUGGGUAAUCUACCUUCAAGUGGGGGAUAACCCUGGGAAACCGGGGCUAAUACCGCAUAAACCUGGGAAGGGAAAGCCGAAAGGCGCUAGAAGAGGAGCCCGCGGCCGAUUAGCUAGUUGGUGGGGUAACGGCUCACCAAGGCGGGGAUCGGUAGCCGGCCUGAGAGGGCACACGGCCACACUGGCACUGAAACACGGGCCAGACUCCUACGGGAGGCAGCAGUGGGGAAUCUUGCACAAUGGAGGCAACUCUGAUGCAGCGACGCCGCGUGAGCGAUGAAGCCCUUCGGGGUGUAAAGCUCUUUCGGCCAGGACGAUAAUGACGGUACCGGCAGAAGAAGCUGCGGCUAACUACGUGCCAGCAGCCGCGGUAAUACGUAGGCAGCGAGCGUUGUUCGGAAUUACUGGGCGUAAAGAGUGUGUAGGCGGUGAUCUAAGUUCGGUGUGAAAUCUCCUGGCUUAACUGGGAGGGUGCGCCGGAAACUGGAUUGCUCGAGCGUGGGAGAGGAAAGCGGAAUUCCUGGUGUAGCGGUGAAAUGCGUAGAUAUCAGGAGGAACACCGGCGGUGUAGACGGCUUUCUGGACCAAAGCUGACGCUGAGACACGAAAGCGUGGGUAGCAAACAGGAUUAGAUACCCUGGUAGUCCACGCCCUAAACGAUGCCUACUUGGUGUCGGCCAUUCAGUUGGUCGGUGCCGGAGCUAACGCGUUAAGUAGGCCGCCUGGGGAGUACGGUCGCAAGGCUGAACUCAAGGAAUUGACGGGGGCCCGCACAAGCGGUGGAGCAUGUGGUUUAAUUCGACGCACGCGAGACCUUACCUGGGCUCGACGGCUUCGGACGGUUUUGGAAACAGAGGCUUUCCCGCAAGGGACC
rnacentral:rRNA from 1 species